rnacentral:rRNA from 1 species
AGCGAACGCUGGCGGCAGGCUUAACACAUGCAAGUCGAGCGGGCAUCCUUGUGGUGUCAGCGGCAGACGGGUGAGUAACGCGUGGGAACAUGCCCUUCGGUUCGGAAUAACUCAGGGAAACUUGAGCUAAUACCGGAUACGUGCGAGAGCAGAAAGGUUUAUCUGCCGAAGGAUCGGCCCGCGUCUGAUUAGCUAGUUGGUGAGGUUACGGCUCACCAAGGCGACGAUCAGUAGCUGGUCUGAGAGGAUGAUCAGCCACACUGGGACUGAGACACGGCCCAGACUCCUACGGGAGGCAGCAGUGGGGAAUAUUGGACAAUGGGGGCAACCCUGAUCCAGCCAUGCCGCGUGAGUGAUGACGGCCUUAGGGUUGUAAAGCUCUUUUCUCCGGGACGAUAAUGACGGUACCGGAGGAAUAAGCCCCGGCUAACUUCGUG